AUUGAACGCUGGCGGCAGGCCUAACACAUGCAAGUCGAGCGGAGCGGCGGAGGGGGGCGUAAUGCCUAGGAAUCUGCCUGGUACUGGGGGAGAAGGUCAGGAAACGGGCACUAAAGCGAAAAACUAGCGGCUGCGGCUAGGUCGGAUUAGCUUGUUGGUGGGGUAAAGGCCUACCAAGGCGACGGUCCCUAACUGGUCUGAGAUGAUGAUCAGCCACACUGGAACUGAGACACGGUCCAGACUCCUACGGGAGGCAGCAGUGGGGAAUAUUGGACAAUGGGCGAAAGCCUGAUCCAGCCAUGCCGCGUGUGUGAAGAAGGUCUUCGGAUUGUAAAGCACUUUAAGUUGGGAGGCGUUACCGACAGAAGAAGCACCGGCUAACUUCGUGCCAGCAGCCGCGGUAAUUC
rnacentral:rRNA from 1 species